rnacentral:rRNA from 1 species
GACGAACGCUGGCGGCGUGCCUAAUACAUGCAAGUCGAACGCAGUGGGGACGGGUUAGUAGAACGUGGGUAACCUCCCAUCAAAGGGGAUAACACUUGGAAACAGGUGCUAACCCCAUAAUGAUGGAUGGAGCAGGGGUGUAUGAGCUAGGUGGUGAGGUAACGGCUCACCAAGGCCACGAUGAAUAGCCGACCUGAGAGGGUGAUCUGCCACACUGGAACUGAGACACGGCCCAGACUCCUACGGGAGGCAGCAUUAGGGAAUCUUCCGCAAUGGACGAAAGUCUGACCGAGCAACGCCGCGUGAGUGAAUAAGGUUUUCGGGUCGUAAAGCUCUGUUGUUGGAGAAGCGUUAUCUGACCAGAAAGCCACGGCUAACUACGUGCCAGCAGCCGCGGUAAUUC